UGCUUGCCUGGCAUUUGAUAGCAAGAUGGCGACUAGUGCUUCGUCUGUAUUCCAAACACGGGGCAAACAGAGAACUCAGGGUCCUUGGACCUCCCUAACUGUGAUUUUAGGGAACUGGACCCCAAGUUUCGUGCAUCGGGCGUCUGCGGAAGGACUGAGAACUGGGGAGUCUGAGCCCAGAGUGCAUGUGGAAACAGCCUAAACACCAACGCAAGAAUUCCAAGUCCUCUCAUUUCUGAAGAGGCUUUUCUCCCCCAGAGCAAGUCAGGGGCAGACAGAACUCGGUCCAGGAAAUUCCUGAGUUUGGCACUCAGAAAGUAUAGGCCGCCAUUGCUGACCUGAGAUCUGAGUCCUGUGUUGAGUCGAUGAAAUAUAAAUGGCGAGUGAAGCCUGUAAGUAUCUUUGGCCUCAAAGAUGGGCUGGGGAGAUGGCGCAUUGGGUAAGAGUGAUUGCCCUGAAAGGACAAAGACGUAAGUUCAAGUCCCCAGCACCCACAUAAAAAGCUGGGUAUGGGGGCUCAGUGGUUAAGAGCACUUGCUACUCUUGCAGAGAACCUGGGUUCAGUUCCCAGCACUCACAUGACGGCUCACAACCACCAGGAACUUCGGUUCCCUCCCUACCCUUUAAGAAAGAAAAGGACAAAAUGGGCUUAUUUUGGAAAUUGAGUGUACCUCUGAGGGGGGAAAAAAAGAAUCAUUAGGCUUGGUCUAAAAGCCAGAUUCUGAUAAAACUGUACAAGAUAUUUGAGUUUUUAAAAUAAAAGAAUUAGGAAAAUGCCUUUUUACUUAUGGAAACAAAAGGAAGCCAGUGAGCUAACCAUCCCAGCCCUCCUGAGGAGGCAAAAGGAGGCAAAUUUGAAGUCAGCCUGGUCUACAUAGUAAGUUCUAGGACAGCCAAAGCUAGACCUGUGUCAAGCAAAAAGUGAAAGUAUCUACAUAUCUAUAUCUAUAUCUAUAUCUAUAUCUAUCUAUAUAUAUAUAUAUUUUUUUCUGCAAAGGACCUUCUAGGACCUCUCAAAUACUAACCGAGUAUUUUAUCACUCAGCUACAUCUCCAACUCCUCCAUUAUAAACUGUUUUAUGUUUUCUUUCAACAAAUGGUGAGCACACAGCCAUGCAAACGUGGCAGAGGAAGGUGAUUCCGGUCAGGUAUGGUGGCCCAUGACUCCAAUCCCAGCACUCUGGAGACAGAGGCAAGAGGAUCACUGUGAAUUCGAGGCCAGCCAAGGCUACCAAAUAAGAAUCUGUCUUUUUGGGCUGGAGAGCUGUUACGUUCUGAGUUCAAUUCCCAGCACCCACAUCGUGGCUCACAACCAUCCAUAAUGAGAUCUGGUGCCCUCUUCUGUCAUGCAGGGAGUGGUGCACGUCUGCGAUCCUAGCUACUCCACGAAGGCUGAAUCAGGAUGACGACAGGUUCAAAGCCAGACCAGCCAAUGCUGGGAUUAAAGUUUAAAGACGUGCUACACCGCACCGCUGCCCAUCUUCAAGGUCAGUUUUCAAUCCAGAGUGCAAACACGUCUCAAAAAACAAAUAAGCGAGAUUUCCCGAAGCCUUGGGAGUGAACACAGCUCUCCCUCCGCACUCCAGACUCUGUUGCACGCACCAGAACCUAGAGAACUCUGGUUCCUUGAUUCUGUGGACCACAGCAGAGCUCAGAAGGGAAAAUGGGUCACCUACAAUAUUCACUGGAGGCAUUUCCUGGUCCAACUUGACGACCAAGCUUUCCAUUAGAGAAGAGAAACCCAGUUUAAAAGUUCAAGAAACCCCUGAUCAAGGAUGCCAAUGGGGGGGCCCCUGCACUCCUGGGAGCCUCUGGAGGUGGACUGGCGUUUUGCUCUGGUGUGUGUGGGGGACUUCGAGAGCCCAUCCCACUUGAAGGGAUGCACUCUGUCUCUGAACACAUGGGGAGGGACCUAGGCCCAGCACAGGAAGAUUUGGUGGACUUGGUGGAGCCCUGGUUGGGGGCCCUACCC
rnacentral:lncRNA from 1 species